rnacentral:rRNA from 1 species
CACGUAGGGCGCAAGCGUUUGUCCGGAAUUAUUGGGCGUAAAGAGCUCGUAGGCGGUCUGUUGCGUCCGCUGUGAAAACUCGGGGCUUAACCCCCGAGCCUGCAGUGGAUACGGGCAGACUAGAGGUAGGUAGGGGAGAAUGGAAUUCCCGGUGUAGCGGUGAAAUGCGCAGAUAUCGGGAGGAACACCGGUGGCGAAGGCGGUUCUCUGGGCAUGUCCUGACGCUGAGGAGCGAAAGUGUGGGGGAGCGAACAGG